AACGCACAUUGCGCCCGCCAGUAUUCUGGCGGGCAUGCCUGUCCGAGCGUCAUUUCAACCCUCAGGGCCCCCUCGGGGGACCUGGCGUUGGGGAUCGGCUGCCCCUGGCGGCUGCCGGCCCUGAAAUACAGUGGCGGUCCCGUCGCGACCUCCCCUGCGUAGUAGUGAUACCUCGCAGCUGGAUAGCGGCGCGGCCACGCCGUAAAACCCCCACUAUCGCAAGGUUGACCUCGGAUCAGGUAGGAAUACCCGCUGAACUUAA
rnacentral:misc_RNA from 2 species